CUACCAGACUCCUACGGGAGGCAGCAGUGGGGAAUAUUGCACAAUGGGCGAAAGCCUGAUGCAGCAACGCCGCGUGAAGGAAGAAGGGUUUCGGCUCGUAAACUUCUAUCAACAGGGACGAAAGAAAUGACGGUACCUGAAUAAGAAGCCCCGGCUAACUACGUGCCAGCAGCCGCGGUAAUACGUAGGGGGCAAGCGUUAUCCGGAUUUACUGGGUGUAAAGGGUGCGCAGGUGGCAGGGCAAGUCAGAUGUGAAAGCCCGGGGCUCAACCCCGGUAUUGCAUUUGAAACUGUCCGGCUAGAGUGCAGGAGAGGUAAGCGGAAUUCCUAGUGUAGCGGUGAAAUGCGUAGAUAUUAGGAGGAACACCAGUGGCGAAGGCGGCUUACUGGACUGUAACUGACACUGAGGCACGAAAGCGUGGGGAGCAAACAGGAUUAGAUACCCUAGUA
rnacentral:rRNA from 1 species